rnacentral:rRNA from 1 species
GACGAACGCUGGCGGCGUGCUUAACACAUGCAAGUCGAACGGCAGCACGGGAGCAAUCCUGGUGGCGAGUGGCGAACGGGUGAGUAAAGUAUCGGAACGUGCCCAGUCGUGGGGGAUAACGUAGCGAAAGUUACGCUAAUACCGCAUACGAUCUAUGGAUGAAAGCGGGGGAUCGCAAGACCUCGCGCGAUUGGAGCGGCCGAUAUCGGAUUAGGUAGUUGGUGGGGUAAAGGCUCACCAAGCCGACGAUCUGUAGCUGGUCUGAGAGGACGACCAGCCACACUGGGGCUGAGACACGGCCCAGACUCCUACGGGAGGCAGCAGUGGGGAAUUUUGGACAAUGGGCGCAAGCCUGAUCCAGCCAUGCCGCGUGCAGGAUGAAGGCCUUCGGGUUGUAAACUGCUUUUGCACGGAACGAAAAGGUUUGGCCUAAUACGCUGAACUCAUGACGGUACCGUAAGAAUAAGGACCGGCUAACUACGUGCCAGCCGCCGCAGUAA